ACACAUGCAGUCGAGCGGUAGCACAGAGAGCUUGCUCUCGGGUGACGAGCGGCGGACGGGUGAGUAAUGUCUGGGAAACUGCCUGAUGGAGGGGGAUAACUACUGGAAACGGUAGCUAAUACCGCAUAACGUCGCAAGACCAAAGUGGGGGACCUUCGGGCCUCAUGCCAUCAGAUGUGCCCAGAUGGGAUUAGCUAGUAGGUGGGGUAACGGCUCACCUAGGCGACGAUCCCUAGCUGGUCUGAGAGGAUGACCAGCCACACUGGAACUGAGACACGGUCCAGACUCCUACGGGAGGCAGCAGUGGGGAAUAUUGCACAAUGGGCGCAAGCCUGAUGCAGCCAUGCCGCGUGUGUGAAGAAGGCCUUCGGGUUGUAAAGCACUUUCAGCGGGGAGGAAGGCGAUAAGGUUAAUAACCUUGUCGAUUGACGUUACCCGCAGAAGAAGCACCGGCUAACUCCGUGCCAGCAGCCGCGGUAAUACGGAGGGUGCAAGCGUUAAUCGGAAUUACUGGGCGUAAAGCGCACGCAGGCGGUCUGUCAAGUCGGAUGUGAAAUCCCCGGGCUCAACCUGGGAACUGCAUUCGAAACUGGCAGGCUAGAGUCUUGUAGAGGGGGGUAGAAUUCCAGGUGUAGCGGUGAAAUGCGUAGAGAUCUGGAGGAAUACCGGUGGCGAAGGCGGCCCCCUGGACAAAGACUGACGCUCAGGUGCGAAAGCGUGGGGAGCAAACAGGAUUAGAUACCCUGGUAGUCCACGCCGUAAACGAUGUCGAUUUGGAGGUUGUGCCCUUGAGGCGUGGCUUCCGGAGCUAACGCGUUAAAUCGACCGCCUGGGGAGUACGGCCGCAAGGUUAAAACUCAAAUGAAUUGACGGGGGCCCGCACAAGCGGUGGAGCAUGUGGUUUAAUUCGAUGCAACGCGAAGAACCUUACCUGGUCUUGACAUCCACAGAACUUUCCAGAGAUGGAUUGGUGCCUUCGGGAACUGUGAGACAGGUGCUGCAUGGCUGUCGUCAGCUCGUGUUGUGAAAUGUUGGGUUAAGUCCCGCAACGAGCGCAACCCUUAUCCUUUGUUGCCAGCGGUUAGGCCGGGAACUCAAAGGAGACUGCCAGUGAUAAACUGGAGGAAGGUGGGGAUGACGUCAAGUCAUCAUGGCCCUUACGACCAGGGCUACACACGUGCUACAAUGGCAUAUACAAAGAGAAGCGACCUCGCGAGAGCAAGCGGACCUCAUAAAGUAUGUCGUAGUCCGGAUUGGAGUCUGCAACUCGACUCCAUGAAGUCGGAAUCGCUAGUAAUCGUAGAUCAGAAUGCUACGGUGAAUACGUUCCCGGGCCUUGUACACACCGCCCGUCACACCAUGGGAGUGGGUUGCAAAAGAAGUAGGUAGCUUAACCUUCGGGAGGGCGCUACC
rnacentral:rRNA from 1 species